UACGAAGGGGGCUAGCGUUGCUCGGAAUUACUGGGCGUAAAGGGCGCGUAGGCGGAUAGUUUAGUCAGAGGUAAAAGCCCAGGGCUCAACCUUGGAACUGCCUUUGAUACUGGCUAUCUUGAGUUCGGGAGAGGUGAGUGGAAUGCCGAGUGUAGAGGUGAAAUUCGUAGAUAUCAGGAGGAACACCAGUGGCGAAGGCGGCUUCCUGGACACCAACUGACGCUGAGACGCGAAAGCGUGGGGAGCAAACAGG
rnacentral:rRNA from 1 species